CAGGCCAUACUGUGCUGCCUCA
rnacentral:miRNA from 1 species